rnacentral:tRNA from 3 species
GGGCACGUAGUUCAGUGGUAGAACGCUGUCCUGAUAAGACAGAGGUCGAUGGUUCGAUUCCAUCCGUGCCCA